ensembl:misc_RNA predicted gene, 22257
GAGUGUGAAAAGAAUCUUGCUGCAAUGCCAAUCACUCCAGUUGUAGCCAAAGUUGGUUUGGCUGAUCUCAUCCACUAGGCAGGUGACCCCUUCCUCCAUCUCAGCUCCAUUUAAAAGCUAUAUUCUCCAUCCAAAAAGGAUAACCUUUCCUAAUAGAAGAGUAUUCUUUGGCUAUGAGUGUAUGUACUCAAACUUUAAAAAGCUCCCAUGGUUCAUUUGUAGAAGAACAGAGGGUAGUCAAGCUUCAAAAACUCCAGAUAUUACCAGAUGUGGCAUUGCAUGGGGGGAAAUUGUCUUACUAA